GUCUAAAUAGUUUAAAGUUAUAAGAAUAGUAAUUUGUGGUAUUACCGGUGUAAUUUUACUUUGGGCU
rnacentral:tRNA from 1 species